UACGUAGGGGGCAAGCGUUGUCCGGAUUUAUUGGGCGUAAAGAGCUCGUAGGCGGCUAUUCGCGUCGGGUGUUAAAGCUCAGGGCUCAACUCUGAGAGGUCAUUCGAUACGGGAUAGCUAGAGGCAGGUAGGGGAGAUUGGAAUUCCUGGUGUAGCGGUGAAAUGCGCAGAUAUCAGGAGGAACACCGGUGGCGAAGGCGGCUUCUUGGGCCGUGUCCUGACGCUGAGGCGCGAAAGCCAGGGGAGCGAACGGGAUUAGAAACCCCGGUAGU
rnacentral:rRNA from 1 species